AAACCAGCACCUCAAGUGGUCAGGAGGAUUAUUGGGCCUAAAGCAUCCGUAGCCUGUUCUGUAAGUUUUCGGUUAAAUCCAUUAGCUCAACUAAUGGGCUGCCGAAAAUACUGUAGAACUAGGGAGUGGGAGAGGUAGACGGUAUUCGGUAGGAAGGGGUAAAAUCCUUUGAUCUAUUGAGGACCACCUGUGGCGAAGGCGGUCUACCAGAACACGUUCGACGGUGAGGGAUGAAAGCUGGGGGAGCAAACAGGAUUAGAAACCCCAGUAGUCC
rnacentral:rRNA from 1 species